rnacentral:rRNA from 1 species
GAUGAACGCUGGCGGCGUGCUUAACACAUGCAAGUCGAACGGGAAUUAUUUUAUUGAAACUUCGGUCGAUUUAAUUUAAUUCUAGUGGCGGACGGGUGAGUAACGCGUGGGUCACCUGCCUUAUACAGGGGGAUAACAGUCAGAAAUGGCUGCUAAUACCGCAUAAGCGCACAGAGCUGCAUGGCUCAGUGUGAAAAACUCCGGUGGUAUAAGAUGGACCCGCGUUGGAUUAGCUUGUUGGCAGGGUAACGGCCUACCAAGGCGACGAUCCAUAGCCGGCCUGAGAGGGUGAACGGCCACAUUGGGACUGAGACACGGCCCAGACUCCUACGGGAGGCAGCAGUGGGGAAUAUUGCACAAUGGGGGAAACCCUGAUGCAGCGACGCCGCGUGAAGGAAGAAGUAUCUCGGUAUGUAAACUUCUAUCAGCAGGGAAGAUAGUGACGGUACCUGACUAAGAAGCCCCGGCUAACUACGUG